rnacentral:rRNA from 1 species
ACCCUGAUCCAGCAAUGCCGCGUGUGUGAAGAAGGCCUUCGGGUUGUAAAGCACUUUUGUCCGGAAAGAAAACCGCUUCUCUAAUACAGGGGCGGGAUGACGGUACCGGAAGAAUAAGCACCGGCUAACUACGUGCCAGCAGCCGCGGUAAUACGUAGGGUGCAAGCGUUAAUCGGAAUUACUGGGCGUAAAGCGUGCGCAGGCGGUUCGCUAAGACCGAUGUGAAAUCCCCGGGCUUAACCUGGGAACUGCAUUGGUGACUGGCGGGCUAGAGUAUGGCAGAGGGGGGUAGAAUUCCACGUGUAGCAGUGAAAUGCGUAGAGAUGUGGAGGAAUACCGAUGGCGAAGGCAGCCCCCUGGGCCAAUACUGACGCUCAUGCACGAAAGCGUGGGGAGCAAACAGGAUUAGAUACCCUGGUAGUCCACGCCCUAAACGAUGUCAACUAGUUGUCGGGUCUUCAUUGACUUGGUAACGAAGCUAACGCGUGAAGUUGACCGCCUGGGGAGUACGGUCGCAAGAUUAAAACUCAAAGGAAUUGACGGGGACCCGCACAAGCGGUGGAUGAUGUGGAUUAAUUCGAUGCAACGCGAAAAACCUUACCUACCCUUGACAUGUACGGAAUCCUGCUGAGA